rnacentral:lncRNA from 1 species
UUCCUUUUAUUCCUACACUACCCUUCAUAGCUAUCAUCAAUCACCCCCACCGGGACUCAUUAUGCAACAUUCACAGCCACACAAUCAGGCUCCACUACACAAACCUCUAUGCUAAUAUGUGGAAAAUGGAAGAUGAAAUAUCAAGAAUAAAUGUUUAUGAAACAUGGAGAAAAAGAUUUGAGUGAUGGGAGAAGAACAUUGAGAGAUGAUGGAGGAAGAAGAAAGGUUUGAAUCUGAGAUGUAAACUUGAGGUAUAAAACUAUGGAAAUUUCUGGAAAAAUGGAGGUGGGUGGUGGCGUGGUGCCAUUGAGAGAGAGGGACACAUUUGCAUUGGAUUUUUCUAUUGGGUUUGGAUGUUUUUGUUUGAAAAAUCACAAAAAACUAUUGGGCUGAAUUUUCAUAUAGAGUGGUCCAGUAAAAAUUAGGACC